rnacentral:rRNA from 1 species
AUACGGAGGAUCCAAGCGUUAUCCGGAAUCAUUGGGUUUAAAGGGUCCGUAGGCGGGUUUGUAAGUCAGUGGUGAAAGUUUUCGGCUCAACCGGAAAAUUGCCAUUGAUACUGCAAGUCUUGAAUUAUCGUGAAGUGAUUAGAAUGUGUAGUGUAGCGGUGAAAUGCAUAGAUAUUACACAGAAUACCGAUUGCGAAGGCAGAUCACUAACAAUAUAUUGACGCUAAGGGACGAAAGCGUGGGUAGCGAACAGAAUUAGAAACCCUAGUAGUCC